rnacentral:rRNA from 1 species
UGCGCAGGCGGACCUAUUAGUCAGUUGUGAAAUCCCGGGGCUCAACUCCGGAACUGCCAUUGAUACUGUAGGUCUUGAGUUUGGUUGAAGUGGGCGGAAUGUAGCAUGUAGCGGUGAAAUGCAUAGAUAUGCUACAGAACACCGAUCGCGAAGGCAGCUCACUAAACCAAAACUGACGCUCAGGCACGAAAGCGUGGGUAGCGAACAGGAUUAGAUACCCUGGUAGUCC